ACGGAAGGCAGCAGUGGGUGAUAUUGCACAAUGGGGGAAACCCUGAUGCAGCAACGCCACGUGUGGGAAGACGCAUUUCGGUGUGUAAACCACUGUCGUGAGGGAAUAAGGACGCUUCUCGGAGCGUUUGAAUAUACCUCGAAAGGAAGCACCGGCAAACUUCGUGCCAGCAGCCGCGGUAAUACGAGGGGUGCAAGCGUUGUUCGGAAUCACUGGGCGUAAAGGGAGCGCAGGCGGAAGUGCAAGCGGUCUGUACAAUACCGGGGCCCAACCCCGGACCUGCAGACCGGACUGCAUUUCUUGGAUAGUUCAGGGGCAAGCGGAAUUCCUGGUGUAGCGGUGGAAUGCGUAGAGAUCAGGAAGAACACCGAUGGCGAAGGCAGCUUGCUGGGGACUUAUCGACGCUCAUGCUCGAAAGUGCGGGUAGCAAACAGGAUUAGAUACCCUGGUA
rnacentral:rRNA from 1 species